rnacentral:rRNA from 1 species
UACGCAGGUGGCGAGCGUUGCCCGGAAUCACUGGGCGUAAAGGGUGCGUAGGCGGCUGGACAAGUCAUAGGUUAAAGCCCGGAGCUCAACUCCGGAAAGGCCUAUGAUACUGUCUGGCUUGAGGGCCGGAGAGGCUGGCGGAAUUCCCGGUGUAGGGGUGAAAUCCGUAGAUAUCGGGAAGAACGCCGGUGGUGAAGACGGUCUCCUGGGCUACUCCUGACGCUGAGGCGCGAAAGCUAGGGGAGCGAACCGG